AUUGAACGCUGGCGGCAUGCCUUACACAUGCAAGUCGAACGGUAACGCGGGGCAACCUGGCGACGAGUGGCGAACGGGGGAGUAAAGCAUCGGAACGUGCCCAACAGUGGGGGAUAGCCCGGCGAAAGCCGGAUUAAUACCGCAUACGUCCUACGGGAGAAAGCAGGGGAUCGCAAGACCUUGCGCUGAUGGAGCGGCCGAGGUCAGAUUAGGUUGUUGGUGGGGUAAAAGCCCACUAAGCCGACGAUCUGUAGCUGGUCUGAGAGGACGACCAGCCACACUGAGACUGAGACACGGACCAGAAUCCUACGGGAGGCAGCAGUGGGGAAUUUGGGACAAUGGGCGAAAGCCUGAUCCCGCCAUGCCGCGUGCGGGAUGAAGGCCUACGGGUUGUAAACCGCUUUUGUUGGGGAAGAAAUACUUCGAGAUAACACCUCGGAAGGAUGACGGUACCCAAAGAAUAAGCACCGGCUAACUACGUGCCAGCCGCCGCGGUAAUAC
rnacentral:rRNA from 1 species